CCUGGCUCAGAUUGAACGCUGGCGGCAGGCCUAACACAUGCAAGUCGAGCGGAAACGGCAGUAUUGAAGCUUCGGUGGAUUUACUGGACGUCGAGCGGCGGACGGGUGAGUAACGGCUGGGAACCUGCCCUGACGAGGGGGAUAACCGUUGGAAACGACGGCUAAUACCGCAUAAUGUCUACGGACCAAAGGUGGCCUCUACAUGUAAGCUAUCGCGUUGGGAUGGGCCCAGUUAGGAUUAGCUAGUUGGUAAGGUAAUGGCAUACCAAGGCAACGAUCCUUAGCUGGUUUGAGAGGAUGAUCAGCCACACUGGGACUGAGACACGGCCCAGACUCCUACGGGAGGCAGCAGUGGGGAAUAUUGCACAAUGGGGGAGACCCUGAUGCAGCCAUGCCGCGUGUGUGAAGAAGGCCUUCGGGUUGUAAAGCACUUUCAGCAGUGAGGAAGGUCGUGUACUUAAUACGUGCACGGCUUGACGUUAGCUGCAGAAGAAGCACCGGCUAACUCCGUGCCAGCAGCCGCGGUAAUACGGAGGGUGCGAGCGUUAAUCGGAAUUACUGGGCGUAAAGCGCAUGCAGGCGGUUUGUUAAGUCAGAUGUGAAAGCCCGGGGCUCAACCUCGGAACCGCAUUUGAAACUGGCAGGCUAGAGUCUUGUAGAGGGGGGUGGAAUUUCAGUGUAGCGGUGAAAUGCGUAGAGAUCUGAAGGAAUACCAGUGGCGAAAGGCGGCCCCCUGGACAAAGACUGACGCUCAGAUGCGAAAGCGUGGGUAGCAAAC
rnacentral:rRNA from 1 species